ACCUCUCGGAGUCGCGGCCGUCGAAGAAGACGAAGUCCCCGCCCUGCACGCACUUGGCGCAGGCUGUGUUAUGAUGCUUUCUUGAAACCUCUAAGAAUGGGAUAGAUGUUCUCAAACGCCUCGUAGAUUUCAGAACGCUCUUUUGCUCCUGUGAAGACAUUUGAAAGGGGGAAAAAAAUAAAAGGAACAAGGGAAGGAAUGUCUCUGCAAGACCUCCAACAGACCAAGCAGCAGCUCUACAUGAAUUGACUACAGACUGAAACUCAGCUCUAUGGGACUUGACUAAGAAAGUCACAAUAGCAUGUAAGUCAUAAUGAGCUGUAAUGCACAGAAGAUGGUACAAAUAAAAGCCUUGUCACUGCAAGCCUACAGGACUACUCACACACAGUGAAGGAUAUCAGGGAACAUGAGAAAUAAUGGUCAAAAACCAGACGUAAAGCAACAAGUUCAUGGCAUAGCUUAAAGAAAGAAGCUAACAGAUGUGUGGUCACUGGGAUUGGAAGCAUCAGCUGGAAAAGAUAUAAUCUAAAAGGAACAAAAUAAACUGCUUAAAGUAGAUAGAAAUAGAAAGCUAAUCUUUUAUGCAGCUGUUCUGGGAAAAGCCUUUAUAGGGUUAAAUGCUGGGGAAGAUGGUCUUCAUGUUAGACAGAUGCUCAGAGGCUGCUGAAGGGGCACAAAACCAUGUUUGCCUUGGGCUGGCUGCCAAGGGUUACUGCUAUAGACUCCAGGUUAAUUAACUCCACUGAAGGCCCCAUCAGCUGCAUAACUUUGGACAUUUCCUAGCAGCUCCAGAAAGGAGACUGCACACUGAUCCUGUGUGAGAUCACCUCGUUUGAGGCAGCGUGAGGGAGAAAGAGCCCUUUUACUUCUGCUGCAGUAGUUUGUGCAGCCCAGGUAUGUGUAAAUCAAAUCCAGCUGCUUUUAGCAUCAGACCUGACUUUUUCUUUGUUAAUAGUGUCCUAAAUAUCUGCUACUAUCACGUAUCUCAACAGGUCUGAAAUAGAAAUCCAUUUCAUCUGCAAAACCCAAGCUAUACCUCCCCAUGUUAUACACCUUAUGGGGCUACAUUCAGAGGGCUUUGCUGGCUGCCACCAGGAGGUCUCUGAAUUUAAGCAGCGUGGGUAAAACUGAGUUUCUAACCUGAAAAUGGUAAAAAGGAGAAGAAUGUGCAACUGUGGGAGCUGUGGCCACACAGCUCAGCCAGAAGUACAGCCUUCUCCUGUUAUUGCUGCAGCUGCUGCAACAGCAGGAAGACACCUGGAGCCAGGAGAGCCAUUUUGAACUGGGAGAGAAAGAUUUUUACACCCAUUCACCAGCCAGCAUGAGGAGAUCGAGCCUCCUUGCACAUAGGCUGGUCCAUAGUAAAGGUGCAAGUGUAGCAGCAUUUAUUCCACAGGAGAAGAGAGCAACCUCGUGCAAGAAGGGUGUGGGCUCCUCUGUGCUCCAAAGUAGCUCUUGGCUGAAGGAACCCUCCAUGGCCCCAUACAAAUAAAUCACAUAGAAGGUAAGAAGCAUGGGGGAAAAAAAAGAAACAGGAGAAAAGAGAAAAUUGAGAACUGUAGGGAAUUGCUGCUCUACAAUUUGAAUAUAUGCAGGAAGCCUCCACAAGCGCAGCGUUGGUGGUAUAGUGGUGAGCAUAGCUGCCUUCCAAGCAGUUGACCCGGGUUCGAUUCCCGGCCAACGCAACUCGUAUUUUUUUUCCUCCCCCCCAUCGGUACCUGCGUGCCGCAGUGCUCCAGGUACUGCUCCAGGGGCGAGACGUCCUCCAUGAGUGCAAAACCCGCUGCCCUGUGGUGCUCACAGCUUUAUAGCAUGGGGCAGCCCCAGAGCAGGUGCAGCUCACCGAGGCACAGCUGGUGACGAACAGCAAGGGGAAUUAUGAUCUCCAUUGCUGUUUUUGCCCUUUGCAAGCAGCCUGGUGGGUAACUUUCACCCUGGGGAUGUGCUGGAGGAACUGGGGUUCUGCCUGGUGCUCCCCAUCAGGAUACGGGUACAGCCUGAGCCUGGCUGUGGAUGAGCAGGGAGCCAGAAAAAGAGAAGGUAGAGUGUGCAAACAUAAAGCCUCACCUUUUGCUGCAGCUUUUUAGUGAGCAAAUGCAGCAGGCCCUUAGCUUCUCCCACCUGCUUCAUCAGGUGUAAUAGGGUACAGCUGGUCCUGCAGCACCUCACUGUCAGGGCAGCCUCAGCCCACGUAGCAGGUCUUCAGCUGGUGCUGUCAGGCUUUUCUCACUGCCCCAAGGCAAUGAAGGAUGAGGUUUGCAUCCUAUGGCCUCGGAGCAGAGUCUCUGUGUCUGAUGAGCAUCCUCUCCUCCUUGGUGCAGCCUGCUGGGCUGGUUCUAUGGCAUUUUUGGGACUUGUCUUUCCCUGAUGGUUUGCAGAUGCCGUAUUCCUCUCACCCCGACUCCAGUGAUUCUGUGAUUCUAUGAAAUUCAGCCUCGAGUGAGUUGAUGUGCAUUAUGCAGGAUAGAGAGCAAGGGGGGGACUCUGAGGUUGCACUUGGGUUAUAGGGGAUGGUAGACUGGCUUGCACCAAUUCAUAAUGGCUAAAACCGCAGUGUCCCCUUAGGGCUCCCUGGUGGUUGCAGAUAGCACUGCAGGACUGUGUUGCCCUCCCAGCACAUGAAUGGUCAAAUUGUUGUGCUCAAACUGGGAACUGGGAGCGUUGUGGUGGCUGUGGGGUUCCUCUGGUGGUAACACAUCUGUGCUCCUAAUUCUCUCAUCAGUCUAAUGCCGUGAUGCUUGGCUAACACCAGCAGUGAUAAGCGGAAGCCCUUGGAGAUGAGAGGGGUUCAUUUUUUGAAGUGCAAUUCAGUAUUGUUCUCUGUAUAGUCAUAGAAUAUCCCAAAUGGGAAGGAGCCCCCAUAAGGAACAUGGAAUCCAACUCCUGGCUCCACACAGCACCACCUAAAAUCAGCCCAGUUCCUCCUUGGAUAAAUAGCUGGAGAAGACAGCUCUGCAGAACUGCUACUAAUAGCACUCUAUUUGUCUCUUCAGUGUUUCCAUUGCACACAUUCCUGCAUUAUCUGGAUGCCACGAUCUGGUUAUGGGGUGGUACUAUUCACAGGGGACUUCCAAAAAGCUAGAAGGGGCAUGGAGCAAGUCAGUAAGGAGGUUCUACCUGUUCUACUCAUUAACGCUCUCAUCAGUCACCUAUUCUAGCACCCCUUAAAUGCCUUACUGCUUGCUCUGAAGGUAGUUAAUCUGGUUGGGCUUUAUCUUACCUUUUUCAGGAACCACUUUGGGAUUGAAAAGCCCAUAGCUGGCAGCAUUCUGCUUUCUGCUCACCUGAGCUUCCUGCUAAGCUUUUGUAGCUGUAAUUGUCUCCGAAGAGCAGAGUGUCUCAGGUGCAGCUCGUAUCUGCUGGUCCCCGCACUGCCUGCAGCAUCAAAGCUGUGCUUCUGAGGAAGAUAAAAAAGCAGCUGAGAGCAGGAGCACCUUCCAAGAAAAGCCAUUUAUUAAGCACAAGUUAUCUCCCACUGCAACAUCUUCCAGUUGCCCCAUUGCUCUCCACGUUGGUACCAGCAGCAGGACCAGGCUUGUUGUGAAGGGGAGAGUAGGUGUUAGAUUUAUUUCAGGGAAGGAGAGAAAGCACCAUGAGUAAUGGGGUCACAGCAGCACUGAGGACUUGAACAAUGGGGCUGGGAUCCAUGGGAUCUUUGGUGCAAGCUCUGCAGGAAUCAGAGCACAACUUGUGAUGCCUUCACUGUAUGUAAAGCACCACGAAGAGCACUGAUGGGUUGCUGAAAUCCCUACAAAACAGUGUUGUCUGGCUGCUCAGCAAGAUGCAGUGGCUGACAUGGAAGGAGUCCUCGGGGCGUGCAGCUCAGUGAUUAGUCAGUCCUUACCACUUCCUCUGAUUAGCAGCAAGCAAAUCAGCAUGCUUGAGUCAACAAGGACCUCGGGAGGAACCAGACUUCCCCAAACCACUGCCAGAUGUCAGCAGACGCUCCGACCCUCCCACCUUGACCUUUUUGGGCCUCAGUGCUCAUAAUUAGCUGUUAACAUAGACGUGUUUCCGUUGCUCUGCCCCUUCUGCUGCAGCCUGCCCAGAAACAUCGUUAGCUCAGCUGUAAUGAAGCCAUACACAUGUGGCUCUGCAGUGCUGCAGAGCAUUGCAUCUCCAUCUCUGUUCCACCUAAGCAGGAACCCAGCUGGAAUCAUGUGUGGUGCAGCCUUGCUCCCAUUUGGGUCCUCCUCUUUCCCACGUGCUAUCUUUGAUCAUAGAAUCAUUUGAGUUGGAAGGGAUCUUUAAAGACCAUCUGGUCCAGCUCCUCCACCAGAGUCCUGUUCAGCCUGACCUUGAAUAUCUCUGGAGGCAGAGCACCCACCACCUCUCUGGGCAACCUGCUCCACUGCCUCACUACCUUCGUUGUAAAAAACCUUUUCCUUAUGUGCAGUCUAAAUCUCCCCUCUUCAUUUUGAAACUGUUUCCCAUUGUCCUAUCCCAGCAGACCCCGCUAAAGAGUCUGUCCCCUUUCUUACAGCCCCACUUUAGAUACCCAAAAGCCGCUCUCAGGUCUCCCCAGAGCCUUCCCUCCUCCAGGCUGCACAGCCCCAUCCCUCAGCCUGUCCCUGUAGGGAGGUGUUCCAUCCCUGGGAUCAUUUUUGUGGCCCCCCUCAUUUUUUCUUCAGUCCUCUUAUCUGUGGCUUGACAGAAAUAAUUAAACACUUUAAUUACUUUGGCCUCCCUUCAGUGGGCAUAUGCCCAAGCCAGUAAUACAAGAGCAGCUCUGCUGAUAUCUGUUUGUGCUUAGAACAUGUGAUGGACUCAGGUAGAGCUCAACAAUGUUUCUGAGAAUAUUAGGAACUCAGACAGGCAUGUGUUGGGGAUGGUCUGAAGCUGGAUGCUGUAUUACCCCAAAUCAUACCAGAUCCAUUGGGUUUUGUGUAUCAGCAUUAAGAUGUGCUUACAUUUAUCCCCAGCUGUAUUUACAGUCCUCUUUCUUCCAGCAUGUGUGAUGCUGCUGUCCCAAACAAAUGGCAUGGGACAGUUCCUGUGCAUCUGUGCCCCUUUGCUUCUGCUGCAUUUCAGGUGAGUGAAUAGUUCUGUGCUUAGGAAGAGCAGAACUUUUCUGUUGCUAACAUGGCAUGUAUCAUUAUACUUCUUAUUUUAUAUCUAUUGCUAAAGGAAAAUAUUUCUUAGGUACUGCUAUUAAUAAUUCCUUAGGCACUGAUGAAGAGUAAGAAUUUUAAAAGCCAUGAUAGAUCAAUGUGGAACAGCACAAAUAAUAACUGAAAAAUCUGAAUGAUCAGUGCAAGAAAAUAUGUGAACCAUUCCUGGAAUACAGCACAUGAGGUGUCUUACAGCAAUAGAGGUAUUCUCUGUAACAUUUCUUCACUUGCUUUGCUUUAUGAUAACCAGCUCUUAAAAGUUCAUCUUCUGCUACGAUGCUACCAAGAAAGAGUAAGGAAGAGGAGGGAUAUUUUAAGUUCACUUUGAAGCAGUAUUCCCAAUGUUAAUUCAAAGGUUAAUCUUGUGUUGUUUGGAAAGCUGCUUUUCUGCCCAGGCUCCCUGUGAUCCCUUUAGCUAUAUCUGAUAAGGAAGGCUAGAAAACUCCAGAUUAGAAAUUAAAUUCCACCUCUGUGGCCCAGCCCUGAUGACCCAAGGAGUCACGUAAAAUACUCUUUCCUUUGCAGUGAGCUCUUUGAGCUAACGCUGUUGCUUUUGACUUAAAAUUGAGAAUUCUUCUGGAGGAAAAGCUAAUUACCAUAGAAUCACAGAAUGGCUUGGGGGUUGGAAGGGACCUCAACCCCCCACCCCCUGCUGUGGGCUGGUUGCCCCCUACCAGAUCAGGCUGCCCACAGCCCCAUCCAGCCUGGCCAUAGGCACCUCCAGGGAGGGGGGCAUCCAUAAACAAAGUUCUCAGCAAUUUUUGUGACCUUCAGGAGAAUUUGAAAUCUUUCUGGCACACGUGUGUGUGAUGGACUUUCCAGUUCCAACUGAUCGUAGGAAUUUGUGCUUGUAAAUAAAAAGAAAAUGAAUGCAAAUAAGCAGAGGCAAAAAGCAAAUUUGGUCAUCAUUGUUUUUUCCCUAACCAGGAAAGAGAGGCUGAAUCAGUGAGGUGUUGAGACUUGUUCCUGGCACUGAGAAGGAUCUCUCCUUCUCUCCUACAAAAUGCUACAUUAGCAAUAAUCAGUUUCCCUGCCUUGUCUUCCUUUCCUUCCCUCGUCUUCCUCCUGUGCCAUCCCCAAACC